UGGAGUGAAGAAUAUUUGGGAGGAAGAGGCUGUUUUAGGAUGGGAAGAAGCUGUGCCAAAAAAUACAAAAGUUGGCGUGAGAACUGCUUGUAUGGGAGAGAGUGAGUGGGCAGACCUGCUGGAGCAAAGGGCAGCUCCUGGGGCAACCUGAAAAGCAAGGUCAGUCACUGGGACACUCGGCUACCUCCCACUGGCUGUGGGAUCUGGGUGAUAAAUACACCUGCUGUGGCUUCAGUUUUAUCCUGUAUGUAAUGAGGGGAAAAAACCUUCCCUGACCCACAGCAGAUAAUAUUCCAAAGGAGCAGAGCUAUGAAUAUGAGCAGGAUAAAGAGGGAAACAAGCCAUAUUUCAUCUUCAAAGCAAUUAGUGUAACGAAGAAUGGUGAUGACAGCUUCCUGGCCUCCUGACACCAAAUUUCCUAUUCAAUGAUUAGAAGACUCCUAAAGAGCUAGUUUUCAUCUCUUCCUGAAAGUAUUGCAUGUGUCUUUGAGGUGGGAAAUGUGGCAAAGAGCUUUUAAGCCUUUGAGAAAAUGAUCCUUCCUCAUCUCAUGGUCUUGCCUGUGUUUCAGAUUCAUGAAGCAGGAUAGUGUGAUGGUUAGAGUAGGUGCUUUGUCACUUAUCAACUGGUUACUUAGUCUCCUUAGCCCCAGUUUCCUCACCCCACCUCCUUUUCUAAAUUUAUUUUUUUGGCUACACCAGGUCUAGUUACGGUACGAGGGAGCUAGUUCUCUGACCAGGGAUGGAACCCGGGCCCCCUGCAUUGGGAGCAUGGAGUCUUAGCCAGUAGACCACCAGGGAAGUCUCUGGAAGUUCCUUCUGUAUAAAAUGCGGGAGCUGCCAUUCCUGGAGUGCUGGCUGUAUCCACACCGUGGUGGUGAAGAGGUCCGGCUGCCACUCUGGACUUGGGCACAAGACUUGCUGUGGCCCUUGACCCCUGGUGAGUUUGUGGGAAGCUGAGACUCUACCCCCAAAAGGACUGAGUGGGUUGGUGCUGGGGCAACUCUCAGCUUAGACUUGGGGGGCCAGGUAGAGCCAGGUGGAUCUGGGAUGUGCAUAAACUGGAUCCAGUAGCCUGAUAGUGUAUAUUUAUUUGUUUGUUUUCUUCUUCCUGACUUGGGAGCAUGGAGACUGGUUAUUUUGUU